CACACAUAAUGUAUCAACUCUUCAGAAAACAUUGGCAGAAAUUGACGCAGAGGGGGAGCUUCUACCAGAUGGAACACUUGCUGUGGGUGGCAAAGCAAUUGCAGUUGUGUUACGCACCAAAUGAUUAUCCUACUGAAUCUGUAAGCAAGUCUUACUUUCCUGCUACUCAAAUACUGAUUCUUUUUUAAGAAGAAUGUGACGUUCUUCCCUUGUAGUGGUGAGCUUCUGUUGUUCGGUAGCAGAAAAUGUAGUUACUUAUCCACAAAAAGGGUACAAAGUAGAAGAGUAAAUCUCAAGUCCAUAAAGGCAUAUGUAGAUCUGUUCUAUAUCUGUUGGGGGUGACUUUGGUGGGCUAAUCCUGCAUGUGUGUAUGAUUGGGCAUGUAAGUGUGAAUAUCUCUUGGAUGUUGUUCCAUACUUUUUACGCACACGAUCAUUCUUGUGCUUGCUUGUGUCUUUAUUUCAUUAGCUUGACUUGAAGUAUGCUUAAGAUGAUACUUAAAAGGCUACUUAUAAAAGAAAUAUGAUACUUCGAUUGCAAAAAUGUGUCCUCAGAAUAUGAUGUCUAUCGUAUGGCUUUUAGUACCAUGUUUUUUUAAUUUGUAGGAGUGGAGAGCAAGGCUGCUCAUGGAUUUGAGUUAUUCAAAUAGAUCCUAUCAUAUGUGGCGCCAAUGGGUAAUGGGUAACCCAUUGCCCAUUGCCCAUCCCUACCUGCUUUACAAGUGGCGCCACAACACAGGGACAAGUAUGAUUUGAUGGAAGUGUAAUUUUCAAAAUUCAUACGAAUGACAAAAAAAUGCUGGUCUCUUUGCAUUGCAGGCUCCAAGUAGCAAGGAAUUCUUCAUGGGGUUUUGUACACACCCAAUCUGCAAUCUGGGUUUGAUUUACUUUUAAUGACCUUGAACUCUCUCCAAUCACAAAUGAUGUUAAACCUUCUAUAUGAUAGAAUUUUACCACUCAUCUUUAGGACUGUAUUACUAAAUGGACAAUGCGGACUUUCGUGAUCUGCAGAGAUCUGUAUCUGUGGUCUUCUUCUUUUGUGUGUCUGUGUGAAUGCUCAAACGUCCGGUUCAUAUGUGAUAUCAAACCUUAGUUGAUUGCGUAACAUGAAUUUAUAGUAAUAUAUUUUAUUAAUUUCCUAACAUGAUUUUGAGAAGUCAUGGGUUAUGAGAAGACUGUCUUUUGCAGCACUGUAUUAAUUCAUAGUUGUAGAGCAGAGAGUCACUGCACCAUGAUGUCAUGGGUUAUCCGUUUUCCUUUAUUAUUUUUCCUUUUUUAACAUUGUCAGACUUGUUAACUGACUUUGCCCUUGCAGGGAUAUGUGAGUUGCAGAAUCAUGGUCAUAUCCUCAGUUUGAUGUCAAAUUUCUUCAAAUAGAAUUAAAGGUUGCUGGGCGAUUUAUUUGUUGUUCCUUUUCUCUGUGCAUGGAUCCACUUCCUAUUAGGUGUUAUAUUUAGUCAAUAGGUCUAAUUUUUGUUAUUGGAUGGAAAUUAUAAUCUGCGUAUGCUUUGCUGAAAUGCAUUUUCACUGGUUGGGCCCAAUAAGUACAAUAGUUGGUCGCUCAA